AUGUGAUCAUAUUUUACCAGGUGAAGUAGACGAUGGGGUACAUGUCUCUGCUGCUUUCUUCUGUGCGCGAGCCAUACGAAGUUUCAUCAGAUAUGCUGCUUUCUUCUCGUGGGAUAGACUUGCAUACCAACUGACUUUUUUUCGUACGACAUUAGGUUGAUCUGGUUGAGCUUCGUUAGUACCAUGACUUCCAGCCAUGCUCCCCACAUCUGGCAUCAUGAAUAUAUAUAGUUGGAUCUUGAACAUUAGAGAAGACAAAUGCAUAAUCUGUGAUUAGGAAAGUUGAACAAGACAGUAGGAUCUCAAAGUGUUCUUACAACGUAAAUUCUGUGUGGCAGAUGAUUCAGUUACUUCGUCAUUGACGCCAUCAGAUGCAACUUUAUUCUGGAGACCGUUUAUUCCUCCCAUCCAUAUGUACUCCAUGUUGAUGAUGAUCAAUGAUUGCUGAGGCACCAACUGCACCUAGUGAACCAGAGUGUGCAUGCUUCUUGGUCAUGGUCAAGAGUAGUCAUGUUUGAAUACUUCUUCUGUUGGCGGACUAUACGGCGCUUUUCGAGGAUGCAGGUGAAGUCGCGCCGGCGACUUGCUGACCCUGAGAGGGAGACACGAUCCCAGGUUACAGGUGUGGGGGUGGCGCAGUCGCAGAGAGAGGAAGAGAGCCUCGACAAGGUUUAAGCAGGGGUAGCCGGCGGUGAUGAGCCGUUGUGCAGGAGCCCCGGCGGUGAUGAGUGAUUGUGCAGGAUCCAGCCUGUGUGCUGCAGCACACACGCCGGAGAACGGCGGCUAUUUCGCGAAGGUCGACAGCCGCGGCAAGGCGUGAGCAGGGGUAGCCGGCCGUGUUGCCGGUGUGCCAGAGGCAACACGUGUGUAAGCAGCAGCGAUCGCGGGAGAAGGUUAGUUUUUUCCGAAGGUGGAGAUGGAGUUGUGAACUGCUGCCCACGCGUGGGAGAACGGGAGUUAUGUUUUUUUUUUUGCUGGAAUAAUCGAUAGCUUUUGUUGAGAGAUCGUUUGGUGGAGAUGUUUAGCGCUUAACAUUGGAGCCUCGUGGGGUGUUGGAUGUAUUGUUUGAA